UUCUGGUUAAGAGAGGUCUUGGGUUCAAGUCUCUCCGUUAGCAAUUUGAAAUUAUGUCCUUGUUUGUUGGUUCUCCUUUUAUUUGGUUCUCUGUUUGUCUCUACAUAUGCAACAUGGGGUUGCACGUGAGGGAGGGUGUUAGAUAGCUUGAUAUACAUUGUUGGGCCCAUUUCCUAAUAGCUUAGGCUUUUGGGAAAAUUGGUAACUUAACAAUUGCAUGUAUGGUGUUGCCUUUGUUAUCUUUUGUUUUUGGAGUUUAUUUAUGGAUGUGUAUUAGAUUGUUUUUGAACAAAUGGUCACUUUUUUCUCUCAUGGUAAUUUCUGGUUUGGAGGGUUGAUGGUGGUUGUUCACACAUUGUUCAUUUGAAAUCAAGUGAGUUUGCUUGGCUCCAUUCCAUGCUUAUUAUUCACACAUUGUUUUCCAUUGAUGGUAAUUUUUGCUUUACAAUGGUAAUGCAUGAUUGAUGGUUAUUGUGUGUUGUUGUGUUUGGUUGCACUGGAUUAUGCUAUUGAGAGUAAUAUACAGUUUAAACCAUUCACAUUGAACAACCUGGCUUUAACUUGCCAAAUUUGAGGUCAAGCUUACUUUUGAACAACCUACUUUAACUUGCAAAUUAUGUAUUGUUUGCCUUUUUUCCCUCCCUAUGGAAAGUUUAGGCAUUUAUUUUUGUAGUUUAAUUUCUUAUGUAAUUAAUGCAAUCCAAAUGCAAAUCCAAGUUCAAAUAGAGAGAGAAAGAAGACAAAUGCCCCAAUUAGGGGUAAAACCCCCAAGGGCUAGAGAGAGAAAUCAAGUUCUACUCCAAUCACAAUGUAUAUUUCUUUUAAUCCAAAACUACGUAUAAUGGUAUUACGUCACCUAUUUUUAUAGACUACCACUAGGCUAAACCUAAUAUGCUAUUUAAUAGACACUUAACCUAUUUAUUCUACUACAUUAGACUUUCCCUUUUUAAGAAAUUUGUCCUCAAUUUUAAGUAGCAACUAAGUGAGCUCAAUGUAGGAGAGGAAUAGGCGUUGCAUCUCAUCUCCAUGCGCAACACAAACAUAGCACUCGCCUGUGCUACAUGGACUCACUGGUUUAGGGCAGAGUACUCAUGUUGACAUGACAUGACACAGGUGCAAGUGUGAGAUCUAUGUCGGACUCGGCUUUGGUUUCUCGGACACGACUGACAAGAGAGGAGUGAAUAAAGGUUGUUGAGAAACUUACAGUGGUAGCAGCACCUUUGUCACCGGAGGUUGCAAGCCUCUGCUCUGUCGUCGCAAGCCUUUGUUGUCGGAGGUCGCAAGCCUUUGUCGUCGAAGAGCUGAGAAAAAAUGAAAAAAAAAAGAAAGAUUGAAUUGAGAGAAGCCUUUGUCGUCGGAGGUCGCAAGCCUUUGUCGUCAGAGAACUGAGAAAGAAUGAAAAAGAAAGAAAGAUUGAACUGAGAGAGAGAGAGAGAGAGAGAGAGAGCUAAUAAAAGAUUUAAUAUAUAUAUAUAUAUAUUUUUUAUUCUCUAUUUUGAUAUUCAAUUUCAAAUCUGAGACUGAGAUAUGUUCCGUCUUCUCAUGGGUCGAGGUCUUCACAUGGCUCUAGAAAAGUUGAAAAAUGUGUAUAAUUAUGAUAAGAGGGAAUGGAUAUACACCUAAUAAUUAUAUAGGGUAAAUUAUCAAUAGAUCCUACUUUUGGAACUUAUUACCCAUUAAGUCCUAUUGAUAAAUUUACCAGUCUCUUGUUUUUAUGAAUAAAUAUAUCAACCAUGACCUGUAGGUAAAUAAGUCUAGUUAAUAAGGCUGAUUGGUUAUUUUAGAGAUAUUUAAUUUUUUUAUUAAAUAUUUUAUUUCUUAUUUAUAUGAUAUGUGAGACCUACAAAAUAUGACAAUGUGAAUAAAAAUAAAAUAGAAAAUAGAAAAUUUUUAUUAUUGCAUAAUAAUUAUACAAAAAAAUUUCAAAGAAUGAUGUGGUAAUAUUAUUAUUGUAAAUAAAUGUACCUUUAAUAGUGCUUUGUUUUGAAGUGAAUGGUCCAUAAUGAACCACAUCAUUAUGUAUUAAUUUUUUGUUCAUAUAGCAUUACUAUUUUUAGUACAUUUUAUUUUUUAGUUACAAUAUAGAAUAUCCUAUUAAUAUUUCACGUGCCGUGUCCUCAUAUCUGGAUUUAGUUUUUGGAUACUUUUUAGUCGAGUCCCCGUACCCUCACUUUUUAGGAAUAGGCGAAUCUAACAGUUAGACAUAUUCGUAUCUGACACCCGCACCAGAGUCCAUGCAACAUAGGCGCUUGCAACUCAUCCUUCCUUGAAUACAUGGAAUUACAUCCUUAGCUAGACAACCAUAAGGGCAAAUUGACAAUCCCCAUCAUGCUCAUACCAUACUCUCUUGCUAAAGCUUGGACAAACCUCCCGUAGUGGAGGUCCGGGUUGAGGCCGUGUCACAAUCGACUUGUAACGCUUGGCGUUGUACCCUUUUAGGGAAUAAAAUUGUGCCUUCAUCACUACUAAUAGGUUUUGGUGAGAUGGUAAGCGCAUGAUCCUACAGAGCAUCAUUACCAGCAACGUACUCAACUCAAGCCAACAUCUUAUAGAGGCAUAUAGAAGCAAGAAACACACACACACACUCACAGACACAACUUCAAAGAAGCUCUUUGAAGAUAGCCUCAAAUAAACUCUUUGCAGCUUUCAAAAAUAUUCAUUUGUUUCAUGUCAAUUUGUUGAUUUUGAGUUUGAUUUGGAUUAGCAUCUUCUUUUCUUCACCUAAAUUUGGAACAUAAGCCCUAUCACCACCUUUCCGUCAAUCUCACGCCUAGUCGAACAAAGAAUUCCAAUCUCAACUGGUCGAACUUCAAUCUUCAACAACAGGUUGCGAAAUCUGCCAAACGAAGGUUGCAAAUAACUUGAGAUGCACUAGAAUGGACUACGACUAUGAACCAAGGUUGUUGCUGACAAAAUCGAACAUCCAGCAAUUCAAGGUUGCAAAGACCAUCUUUCAGACUCAGUGCGUAAGGUAACAUCGAACUAGAGAGUCUAGUUCAAAACCAAACCAAAGAGAGUGAUCUAGGGCAAAAUCCCAACUGUGAACGCAACUAGAUCACUAAUACCCAACCAAAUCGAAGAAGAGAGAGACCAGGUUUGGAACAGAGAGUCGAAAGGCCAAAGCAAUCAAGUACGAAGUCCAUAUCAAUGAGAAAGACUUAUGAUCAAUCGGGAGUACACCCUUGCUAGCAAAAACCCGUGAACGAUUUGCGAAAUUGAUAUCCAGAACAGAACCAGAUUAGUUCCCGACUUCAGACUCACGAAGAACUCCAAAUCGCAAGUCAAAAAUCGAUGGAAUCAAAAGAACAAGAGUUGUAACUGUGCAUCGAAGCUUCAGAAUCGAUUUGAACCGACUGGAAUCAAGUUUUCGGGUCCCACCCAAGACUUUUGGGUCGGUUUCGGAUCUUUACCCAAGACUUUCGAUUCGAUUCGAUUCGGAUCUCACCUAAGACUUUUAGAUCAAUUUAGGAUCUUCUUUUGGGUGUCAGAUUCGAGUUUAGACUGCAACUAGGGCUGCGAAUCGAAGUCAGAUCUUUGAUUAUGGCUUUGGAUCAAAAUCAGAAUCGAGUCUCACAACUUAGGGUUCACAAGUCUUCACGAAUCAACCAGUGGCAAAGUUGGAGCUUCAGCAUGAGUCGUAGACUAAUCAAUGGCUCAAACUAGGUAUUCUGAAGGUGUCGAACUUGAGUCAAAGGAACCAAAUUGCGAUCGCGAUGUGUCCAACAAACUUUGAAUCGAUGUGUUCUUUGAUUCUGAAAUCGCAAUGUGAACAGUAACUUCGAAUCGUGUGUAAUCACGAUGGGUUCGUCGCUUCUAGAAAUGGAAGUGAAUUUCACAGAUUCUGGGUUUCAACUCCGAAGGAAGCUUCCAAAUUCACAAACAAGGAUUUCGAAUAUAACCCAGGUAUUAUGAACCAUAAUUGAGCUUAAAUCCUUCUACAACUAGUCUAAAUAAGGUGAUGGGGUGGUCAAGAACUAGGUCAAGUUCUCAGGCUCUAAUACCAAAUAAUGCAAUCCAAAUGCAAAUCAAAGAUUAAAUAGUGAGAGAGAAGACAAAUGCCCAGCUAGGGGGAAAACCCCUAAGGGCUAGAGCUAUGAAGCACGGGUAUGAGUAUUGGUACAAUACAUGUACGUCGAUACGGUAAAAUUUUUUUUAAAAAAAAUAGAGUAUAGGUACGGCUUAGGCUUAGUACGUUUGUAAAAAAAAAUAUUUAUUUUUAAUUUGGAGUAAUGCAAAAAUUGAUUAAAUGGUUUAAUUUGUUAAGAUCCAACCUACAAAUAACAUUUGAUGCCGAAAAUAAAUGUAUAAACCAAAAUUAAAUGUCAUUAUAUUAAAUAACUUACAAAUCAUAGUUUAAUUUUAAAAUCUUGCUGAGCAUAAAACUAAAAAUAAAAAACAAGUCUAGUGAAAUGAAUUUUAUCUCUGUAGUAGAAGAAAAUAUUAUUUCGAUGGAGGUACGGUACGAUACGACUUAGAUAUAUAUUCCAAAAAUUAAGAAAAAAAAUUUGAGUACGUGUUUCGUGUACCCGAUACGUAUGCAGAAAUACCAUACGAAAUACCAGUAUCCAGUAUGGGUACGACAUGUUUGUUGAAGUACCCUUGCUUCAUAGGGUUAAAGAGAGAAACCAAGUUUUACUCCAAUUACAAUGUAUAUUUGUUUUAAUCCAAAACUAAGUACAAUGGUAUUACAAUACCUAUUUAUAUAGACUACCAGUCUACAACUAAGCUACAACUAAUAGGCUAUUUAACAGACACUUAACCUAUUUAUUCUACUGCAUCAGUAAUGUUUAGACGUAUUAUUAUGAACAAUGAGACUGACCUUGACAAUGAUCUUAGCACUAUAAGAGUCAACCUUCUCAAAUCUCCAUCAAAUAGUAUCCACCGUGGAAAUUAUAUAACUGCGAGCCAUGAAAAUUUUUAAAAAAAUGAAGUUAAGAGUAAAUAGAGUUGGAGAUUUGUAAAAAUGAAAGGUUAAAUGGUUUUUAUUAGCAUAGACCAUCAAGAAUAGGACCGUUGAGAGAAUAUAACCAUUUAACAAUAUGACCGUUGAGAGAAUAUGACUUAAAAUUAUGAUCAUUGAAAACAAUGACUGUUACCAAAUGCAACAUCAACACGCAUGUCAACCUAUUUGGCAUGCCAUGAAAAAUGUAAGCAUUUUUUAUUUUGUGUGUGUGUUGUGUAGUAUUUUUGUUUUGAAAAUUGUGUAGGUUAGUUUAAAUCACUAGCUAAAAUAAAGAGUCCGUUGAAGUAUAUAUUAGGUAAAUAGUGAGGCAAAAUAAUUUUAAAAAAAGGUACUUUUAUUUGGCAAAAUACGUAGCAGUAUUGAAGUUAUUCAAGCUUCUCAAUUUUAAAAUCUUAAUGGAUAUUCUUAAAUGGGUUUGGUUUUAAUUUUUUUGCCAGUUAUUUUCACUUUUGUGUGCUUUUACACAGCGUUAUAGCUCUUUUAUUAAGUUUUUUUUUUUUUUAUUGAUUUUUUGAAUCGCCUUUUUGCAUUUUUUGUUAAAUUAUUUUAGCCAUGUAUCACUUUUAAGAGAGCUUAUAUUUGUACACCACAUUUUUUCAUAAUUCACGCUAUUUUUUUUUUUUUUUUUUUUUUUUUUUUUUUUUUUUAAUUACGAUUGUUCCUCAAACAAAUGAUACAUAGCCCCUGUUGCCACCACCAGCCACUGCCACUUCCUUAUCUGCCCCCAUGAUCGUAACCCCCACUUAUAAGCCUUAUAGGCCUAAUGCUUCUAUGGUUUAAGUAGUUUUACUUUGUGAUCACUGCUAUAACGUAAUAGGAUAUCAUACAAAGCACUUGAAUGCCAUGCAUGCCUUUGUAUGGGGUGCCUCUAUUUACUCCACAAAAAUAUCGCAUUCCAUCCUCUAGUGUUUUCUUUUUAUACAAUUUUUUGUCUACAUAAAAUUACUUGAAACUCUCAAACUCUAAAAUCUUAAUUUCUCUACCAACCCAACCCAACCCCUCCCCACUACCUACCACCCAUUGUUGCCGGUGCUACCCCUUCUUCAGCCAGUCGUUCCCUCUACUUAUUCCCUUCACCAUUGGUAGAAGGUUGAAGAGGGAUUGGUUCAUGGUGGUGGAGGCUGAGGGGGUUGGUCACGGUAGUGGGAGGAGGAGUUGUUUCUAUGGCUGGGGAGCUGGGGAAGGGCUCUAAUGGUGGAGAAGGUGGUGAUUGUGGAGAAGGGCUGUCAUGAGGGAGUAACCAAAGCCAAUUGGUAUAUGGAAAUGAGUUCUUCAGUAACUUAGUUUAAUUUCAACGCCACCUCUUGAAAGAGUUCCCAUAAUAACCCAUCUUUCAGCAUACCGUAAAGAGAAGGUAAUAUCAGCAAUCAAGUAUGAACUGGACCAUCGUGGACAAGGUAUCUAUGUACUGCCUCGUAUCAAAGGGUCCAAACCCACUCUCAUGUAAGAAGAAAAAGAAUUGUGGGCAUGCAAAAGCAAAUCUUGUUUCAGAAAAGUUUAAAGAUCAAUAUUUGUGGAGCUAACGGGAGAUGGUGUCUGUGAAGCCUUAGUCAAAGGAUUCAAGGCUUGUGAAGUGGAUACAAAACAAAAGAAGUUUCAAUUCAGAGGAAGGGUCAAAACCUACGGUUUAUUACUUGGUGCUGCUGUUAUAGCUGUAGGAGGAUCCUUUGUCAGGUGCAAAAAAGAAGUGGGUGAGACUUGAGUUCAAAGUGUAACAGGAAUGUAAUUUAUGCUGAUGGGGAUUUUAGUCAUAGUUUUUUGUUAAUGUAGUUUUGGGUUUCUCCCAAGUUCUGAUUAAGCAUGAUGUUUGCACCAUUAUAACUUCAAAUUCGGCUUGAUGUAGUCUUGAACUUGGAUCAUCAAUCUCUUGUUUUUCCUUCUUGCUUUCCAGUUCCUUUUAAAUUUUUACAGGCAGAGGUCUUAUAAUUUUGUAGACUGAAGCAACAGUAAUCAGAGUGGAUUAAGAAUGCCGUGAUUCUUUUGGCCAUAAAAA